rnacentral:rRNA from 1 species
CCUACGGGUGGCAGCAGUGAGGAAUAUUGGGCAAUGGACGAGAGUCUGAACCAGCCAAGUAGCGUGAAGGAUGAAUGCCCUAUGGGUUGUAAACUUCUUUUAUAUGGGAGUAGCAUGUUCCACGUGUGGGAUUUUGUAUGUACCAUAUGAAUAAGGAUCGGCUAACUCCGUGCCAGCAGCCGCGGUAAUACGGAGGAUCCGAGCGUUAUCCGGAUUUAUUGGGUGUAAAGGGAGCGUAGGUGGAUUGUUAAGUCAGUUGUGAAAGUUUGCGGCUCAACCGUAAAAUUGCAGUUGAAACUGGCAGUCUUGAGUACAGUAGAGGUGGGCGGAAUUCGUGGUGUAGCGGUGAAAUGCUUAGAUAUCACGAAGAACUCCGAUUGCGAAGGCAGUUCACUGGACUGCAACUGACACUGAGGCGCGAAAGUGUGGGUAUCAAACAGGAUUAGAUACCCUUGUAGUC